UUAUAUGCCCGAAAGGGCAUAUUAUGUUAUACCCCCUGGCGUCCGUCUGUCUGUCCGUCCGUCCGUCCGUCCGUCCGUUAGCAAUUUGGUUUCCGGAGCAUAAGUUAAGUUCCAUUUGGCCCACAAUGUUCAAACUUCAUAGGAUGAUUGUCCAUAUUGGGUAGAAGACCCCUAUUGAUUUUGGGGUCAAAAGGUCAAAGGUCAAGGUCACUAUGACCUUAAAACUGAAAACAGUUUCCGGAGCAUAACUUAAGUUCCAUUCGACCCACAAUGUUCAAACUUCAUAGGAUGAUUGUCCAUAUUGGGUAGAAGACCCCUAUUGAUUUUUGGGUCACAAGGUCAAAGGUCAAGGUCGCUAUUACCUUGACACUGAAAACAGUUUCCGGAGCAUAACUUAAGUUCCAAUUGACCCACAAUGUUCAAACUUCAUAGGAUGAUUGUCCAUAGUGGGUAGAAGACCCCUAUUGAUUUUGGGGUCAAAAGGUCAAAGGUCAAGGUCACUAUGACCUUAAAACUGAAAACAGUUUCCGGAGCAUAACUUAAGUUCCAUUUGACCCACAAUGUUCAAACUUCAUAGGAUGAUUGUCCAUAUUGGGUAGAAGACCCCUAUUGAUUUUGGGGUCACAAGGUCAAAGUCACUUUUACCUUAAUACUGAAAACAGUUUCUAGAGCAUAAUUAAAGUUCCAAUUGGCCCACAAUAUUCAAACUUCUUAGGAUGAUUGUCCAUAUAAGGUAGAAGACCCCUAUUGAUUUAGGGGUCACAAGGUCAAAGGUUAAGGUCAUUAUUAAUAACUUAAGUAUUAAUCAACCUACAGCUGUAAAAUUUUAUAGGAUGAACAGCGAAUUCCCAUGUCUUACAAAUGCUUCAUCCUUA